GUUCCUGUAGUGUAAUGGGUAGCGCGUUGGACUUCUAAUUCGAAAGGCGUGGGUUCGAAUCCCACUUGGAAUU